AAUGCAAUGAAGAUAACUUCAUUUAAUAAUAAAUUAAAUUUUAUAUUUUAUUUUUAUGUAUUCUUUCAGGAUCUUAGUAACGGGGUCAUGUUGCCAUUGCCACCGAAAGCCUUUCUUGGAGGUUCUCCUUACUGCUGUGAAAAGGCAUACCAUUCAUGGGAACUCUUUCAGGAGCAGGAUGACUCAACUGGUCCCAGACAGGUUAAAUCCUUGCUACUGAUACUCUCUGGACGGAAUCACUAGAGGCAGGAAAUACACUUUGCCAAAAUGCAGACAAACUGCCAGCCUGUUUCUACGUGCUCUUCUUUGAGGCAACUCCUUUUGCUGAAAAGAGGACACGUUGCCCAAGUAGGUUUUUCAGGAUUUUGUCUUGGGUUAUUCUAAUAUUUGCAAAUAUAACUUGA
rnacentral:lncRNA from 1 species